rnacentral:rRNA from 1 species
UGGAUUAGUGGCGAACGGGUGAGUAACACGUGGGCAAUCUGCCCUUCACUCUGGGACAAGCCCUGGAAACGGGGUCUAAUACCGGAUACGACCUGGGAAGGCAUCUUCUCGGGUGGAAAGCUCCGGCGGUGAAGGAUGAGCCCGCGGCCUAUCAGCUUGUUGGUGAGGUAACGGCUCACCAAGGCGACGACGGGUAGCCGGCCUGAGAGGGCGACCGGCCACACUGGGACUGAGACACGGCCCAGACUCCUACGGGAGGCAGCAGUGGGGAAUAUUGCACAAUGGGCGAAAGCCUGAUGCAGCGACGCCGCGUGAGGGAUGACGGCCUUCGGGUUGUAAACCUCUUUCAGCAGGGAAGAAGCGAAAGUGACGGUACCUGCAGAAGAAGCGCCGGCUAACUACGUGCCAGCAGCCGCGGUAAUACGUAGGGCGCAAGCGUUGUCCGGAAUUAUUGGGCGUAAAGAGCUCGUAGGCGGCUUGUCACGUCGGGUGUGAAAGCCCGGGGCUUAACCCCGGGUCUGCAUCCGAUACGGGCAGGCUAGAGUGUGGUAGGGGAGAUCGGAAUUCCUGGUGUAGCGGUGAAAUGCGCAGAUAUCAGGAGGAACACCGGUGGCGAAGGCGGAUCUCUGGGCCAUUACUGACGCUGAGGAGCGAAAGCGUGGGGAGCGAACAGGAUUAGAUACCCUGGUAGUCCACGCCGU